GGAGGUAGUAACGAGAAAUAACGAGGCGGUUCUCUACGAGGCCCGCCAUCGGAAUGGGUAAAAUCUAAACCCUUUAACGAGUAUCUAUGAGAGGGCAAGUCUGGUGCCAGCAGCCGCGGUAAUUCCAGCUCUCAAAAUGCAUAGAAUUAUUGCUGCGGUUAAAAAGCUCGUAGUUGGAUCUGUGCCGCAGGUCUCGGUCCACUUUAGGGUGCGCACUGAGCUCCUCGGCUUUUCUGCUGGUUUUCUCGCCAUAGCCUUCACCGGUUGUGGCGGGUGGCUGGCGAUUUUACUUUGAACAAAUCAGAGUGCUCAACACAGGCGUUUCGCUUGAAUGUUCUUGCAUGGAAUAAUAGAAGAGGAUUUCGGUCCUAUUUUAUUGGUUUUAUAGGCUGAAAUAAUGGUUAAUAGAGACAAACGGGGGCAUUCGUAUCGCUGCGUGAGAGGUGAAAUUCUUGGACCGCAGCGCGACGGACUACAGCGAAAGCAUUUGCCAAGAAUGUCUUCAUUAAUCAAGAACGAAAGUCAGAGGUUCGAAGGCGAUCAGAUACCGCCCUAGUUCUGACCGUAAACGAUGCCAACUCGCGAUUCGCUGGUGCUGAUUAUGGCCUGGUGAGGAGCGUUCCGGAAACGAUUAAGUGUGCCGGUUCCGGGGGAAGUAUGGUUGCAAAGCUGAAACUUAAAGGAAUUGACGGAAGGGCACCACCAGGAGUGGAGCCUGCGGCUUAAUUUGACUCAACACGGGAAAACUCACCCGGCCCGGACACCGUGAGGAUUGACAGAUUGAUAGCUCUUUUAUGAUUCGGUGGAUGGUGGUGCAUGGCCGUUCUUAGUUCGUGGAGCGAUUUGUCUGGUUUAUUCCGAUAACGAGCGAGACUCUAGCCUACUAAAUAGUCCACACAUUACUAUUGUGCUGUGCGACUUCUUAGAGGGAUUUUCGGUGUACAGCCGCACGAAAUUGAGCAAUA
rnacentral:rRNA from 1 species